rnacentral:rRNA from 1 species
UACGGGGGGGGCAAGCGUUGUUCGGAAUUACUGGGCGUAAAGGGCUCGUAGGCGGCCAACUAAGUCAGACGUGAAAUCCCUCGGCUUAACCGGGGAGCUGCGUCUGAUACUGGAUGGCUUGAAUCCGGGAGAGGGAUGCGGAAUUCCAGGUGUAGCGGUGAAAUGCGUAGAUAUCUGGAGGAACACCGGUGGCGAAGGCGGCAUCCUGGACCGGCAUUGACGCUGAGGAGCGAAAGCCAGGGGAGCAAAGCGGG